rnacentral:rRNA from 1 species
CCUGAGAAACCCAAAAGAUCGAAUGGGGAGAUUCAUCGUCAGCUCAUUUUGUAUAUAUAUAAGUUAUGAUAUGGGUUACUACUUUGUUGUAGUAUUGCCUUUACAUUCUUUUAUAUUUAAUUGCAAUAUGUUGUCGGCGUGCACUUCUCCCCUAGUAGGACGUCGCGACCCGUUGAGUGUCGGUCUACGGCCCAAGUGGUAGCCUUUAAUUUUUUAAAUUAAAGACCCUUGGUGUUUUCUGGCUGACUACUCGGCGGUAUUCGUACGGUAUUAAGCCGCAUUUUAUUAUGCGUUCAUAUCCGUCGCAAGCGCGGUCAAUUUUUGGUAGUACGGACCUAGUGCCGUCGCCAUAAUUGAUCAGCUGUUGGUUGUACGGUAUUCUAGAACUGGCUUUUUCAUACCGGUCAACGA